rnacentral:lncRNA from 1 species
UUUGCAAGCAAGCCUUGUCUCUUUUAUAUUAUAUCAGAAAAAUGUAAUUUUUCAAAGGAAAUAAUGUCACUUACAGAGCUACAAGUGGAGGAAAAAGAGCAGCUCCAGUCUUCCCUGAAUGUAGGGACUGCAUUGCUUGGUGAAACAUAUAGUGAAGCUGAACUCGUGUCAAGAAUGCCAGGUGCAGGAAAAGCAGAAACAAAGAAAGAACAAAGACUCUGUGUAGCUUACAGUUCUGAACAAUCAGAGCAAAUUAGAAAUACAGAAGCCCUUCCAAAAACAUCAUUACCCAGGUCACUUGGAUUUCUACCUUUAAUCUGUAAAAUUAAUACUGAUGAAGAGAUAGCUGAUAAAGAGAACAACAAACCUCCUCAGAAAACCUGUACGCUGAUUUUUGAAAAUACCCCCGAAUGUCCAGCUUCAACUUCCAAAGACAGCAACACAGAGAUUCAGGAAUACAGUUUAUUACCAACAACCAUGCUGUCACCUUCAAAAUAUGAGAGUGGAAGCUGUUCCUCUGUUCAGGUUUUACCUGAGGAAGAGGGUUCUGCUAAGGAACAAGAAAAAGAAGAGCA